GUGAAUCAUCAAAUCUUUGAACGCAAAUUGCACUUUCUGGUAUUCCGGAAAGUAUGCCUGUUUGAGGGUCAGUAAAAUAAACAUCGGUGUUGUUGCUCCCUUUCGUGGUGACGCGUCGGAUUUGAGUCGUCUUACCUUCGGUUAAGCUUCUUAAAAUUUUUGCAUGAUUUUCGAACGUAUUUCUUUGGUUUUUCAACUUUGACGUUUUCGAUGGCUUUUUAU
rnacentral:misc_RNA from 1 species